rnacentral:rRNA from 1 species
UCCUACGGGGGGCAGCAGUAGGGAAUAUUGCUUAAUGGGCGCAAGCCUGAAGCAGCAACGCCGCGUGUGCGAUGAAGGCCUUCGGGUUGUAAAGCACUUUUGAGCGGGACGAGGAAGGACGGUACCGUUCGAAUAAGCCUCGGCUAACUACGUGCCAGCAGCCGCGGUAAAACGUAGGAGGCGAGCGUUAUCCGGAUUUACUGGGUGUAAAGCGCGUGCAGGCGGUUAGCUAAGUUGGGUGUGAAAGCUCCUGGCUCAACUGGGAGAGGUCGCUCAAGACUGGCUGACUGGAGAGCAGUAGGGGAAGGUGGAAUUCCGGGUGUAGUGGUGAAAUGCGUAGAUAUCCGGAGGAACACCAGUGGCGAAAGCGGCCUUCUGGACUGCAUCUGACGCUCAGACGCGAAAGCUAGGGGAGCAAACGGGAUUAGAUACCCCAGUAGUCC